AGUGAACGCUGGCGGUAGGCCUAACACAUGCAAGUCGAACGGCAGCACAGUAAGAGCUUGCUCUUACGGGUGGUGAGUGGCGGACGGGUGAGGAAUACAUCGGAAUCUACUUUUUCGUGGGGGAUAACGUAGGGAAACUUACGCUAAUACCGCAUACGACCUACGGGUGAAAGCAGGGGAUCUUCGGACCUUGCGCGAUUGAAUGAGCCGAUGUCGGAUUAGCUAGUUGGCGGGGUAAAGGCCCACCAAGGCGACGAUCCGUAGCUGGUCUGAGAGGAUGAUCAGCCACACUGGAACUGAGACACGGUCCAGACUCCUACGGGAGGCAGCAGUGGGGAAUAUUGGACAAUGGGCGCAAGCCUGAUCCAGCCAUACCGCGUGGGUGAAGAAGGCCUUCGGGUUGUAAAGCCCUCUUGUUGGGAAAGAAAAGCAGCAGGUUAAUACCCCGCUGUUCUGACGGUACCCAAAGAAUAAGCACCGGCUAACCUCGUG
rnacentral:rRNA from 1 species